rnacentral:misc_RNA from 1 species
AAAAAAAAAAAAAAAAAGAACCAAUACUAUUUCAAGAGUAAUACAAAGCAAAUGGUUUUAACAUAAAAUUCCUCACUGGCUGAGUUAGCCCCUGAAAUACAGUCAGCCAUCAUUAUGUAGUCAUUAAUUUAGGAAAAAAAAAAGGUUACCUCUUUUAACUUCUGAAAUUUCAGGCAAAUUAUCUGAUAAGCCAACCACUUCUAAAGCAAUUACUAACAAAGUUCAGACUGUUCGCAACUUUCAAACACCAUAACCCAAUUGAAAAUCAGCAGACAAUAAAAAAAAU